rfam:Myotis lucifugus cont2.18868, whole genome shotgun sequence.
GGCAGUUCUUGGCUGAUGCACCUCGGAAUCGGGCUCCCUCCUCUCUGGUUCUGGGUGCGUCACCCGAGAACCUCA